UACGUAGGUGGCAAGCGUUGUCCGGAUUUAUUGGGUUUAAAGGGUGCGUAGGCGGUCUAUUAAGUCAGUGCUGAAAUAUCCCAGCUUAACUGGGAGGGUGGCAUUGAUACUGAUGGACUUGAGUAAAGUUGAGGUUGGCGGAAUUGACGGUGUAGCGGUGAAAUGCUUAGAUAUGACAUAGAACACCAAUUGCGAAGGCAGCUUACUACGGAUAUAUUGACACUGAGGCACGAAAGCGUGGGGAGCAAACAGG
rnacentral:rRNA from 1 species